UACGUAGGGGGCAAGCGUUAUCCGGAUUUACUGGGUGUAAAGGGAGCGUAGACGGCCAGACAAGUCUGAAGUGAAAAUCCAGCGCUUAACGUUGGAAGUGCUUUGGAAACUGCCGGGCUAGAGUGCAGGAGGGGCAGGCGGAAUUCCUAGUGUAGCGGUGAAAUGCGUAGAUAUUAGGAGGAACACCAGUGGCGAAGGCGGCCUGCUGGACUGCAACUGACGUUGAGGCUCGAAAGCGUGGGGAGCAAACAGG
rnacentral:rRNA from 1 species